rnacentral:rRNA from 1 species
CUUUACUGCAACUUGACGUUGGAACUUGGCUGUAUUUGUGUAGGAUAGGUGGGAGACUUUGAAGCAGGGCCGCCAGGUCUCGCGGAGUCGUCGUUGAAAUACCACCCUGGUACUGACGAGUUUCUAACCGUGUCCGUAAGCCGGACAUCAGACAGCGUCUGGUGGGCAGUUUGACUGGGGCGGUCGCCUCCUAAAAGGUAACGGAGGCAUUCAAAGGUCCCCUCAGCGUGGUCGGUAAUCACGCGCAGAGUGCAAACGCAUAAGGGGGCUUAACUGCGAGACCGACAGGUCGAGCAGGUACGAAAGUAGGAGUUAGUGAUCCGGCGGUUUAGCGUGGAAUUGCCGUUGCUCAAUGGAUAAAAGGUA